UCGGCAUCGACCAGAGGGAAAAGGAGCAAUCCGCUUUGAGGUGGCCUCGCGUCCGAUUAGCUAGUUGGUGAGGUAACGGCCCACCAAGGCGACGAUCGGUAGCCGGACUGAGAGGUUGAACGGCCACAUUGGGACUGAGACACGGCCCAGACUCCUACGGGAGGCAGCAGUGGGGAAUAUUGCACAAUGGGGGAAACCCUGAUGCAGCGACGCCGCGUGGAGGAAGAAGGUCUUCGGAUUGUAAACUCCUGUUGUUGAGGAAGAUAAUGACGGUACUCAACAAGGAAGUGACGGCUAACUACGUGCCAGCAGCCGCGGUAAAACGUAGGUCACAAGCGUUGUCCGGAAUUACUGGGUGUAAAGGGAGCGCAGGCGGGAAGACAAGUUGGAAGUGAAAUCUAUGGGCUCAACCCAUAAACUGCUUUCAAAACUGUUUUUCUUGAGUAGUGCAGAGGUAGGCGGAAUUCCCGGUGUAGCGGUGGAAUGCGUAGAUAUCGGGAGGAACACCAGUGGCGAAGGCGGCCUACUGGGCACCAACUGACGCUGAGGCUCGAAAGUGUGGGUAGCAAACAGGAUUAGAUACCCUGGUAGUCCACACCGUA
rnacentral:rRNA from 1 species